GGAAGUGUGGCUCAAACGGUAGAGUGCCUGCCUAGCAAGCAUGAGGCUCUGGAGUUCAGUACUCAUUACUGCCA
rnacentral:tRNA from 1 species